AUUGAACGCUGGCGGCAUGCUUUACACAUGCAAGUCGAACGGCAGCGCGGGCUUCGGCCUGGCGGCGAGUGGCGAACGGGUGAGUAAUGCAUCGGAACGUGCCCAGUAGUGGGGGAUAGCCCGGCGAAAGCCGGAUUAAUACCGCAUACGACCUGAGGGUGAAAGCGGGGGACCGAAAGGCCUCGCGCUAUUGGAGCGGCCGAGGUCGGAUUAGCUAGUUGGUGGGGUAAAGGCUUACCAAGGCGACGAUCCGUAGCUGGUCUGAGAGGACGACCAGCCACACUGGGACUGAGACACGGCCCAGACUCCUACGGGAGGCAGCAGUGGGGAAUUUUGGACAAUGGGGGCAACCCUGAUCCAGCCAUGCCGCGUGCGGGAAGAAGGCCUUCGGGUUGUAAACCGCUUUUGUUUGGGAAGAAAUCCUCUGGGCUAAUACCCCGGGGGGAUGACGGUACCGGAAGAAUAAGCACCGGCUAACUACGUG
rnacentral:rRNA from 1 species